GCAAGCGUUGUUCGGAAUUACUGGGCGUAAAGGGCUCGUAGGCGGCCAACUAAGUCGGAUGUGAAAUCCCCAAGCUUAACUUGGGAACUGCAUCCGAUACUGGAUGGCUUGAAUCCGGGAGAGGGAUGCAGAAUUCCAGGUGUAGCGGUGAAAUGCGUAGAUAUCUGGAGGAACACCGGUGGCGAAGGCGACGUCCUGGACCGGCAUUGACGCUGAGGCGCGAAAGCCAGGGGAGCAAGCGGG
rnacentral:rRNA from 1 species